GAUGAACGCUGGCGGCGUGCCUAAUACAUGCAAGUCGAGCGAACGGACGAGAAGCUUGCUUCUCUGAUGUUAGCGGCGGACGGGUGAGUAACACGUGGAUAACCUACCUAUAAGACUGGGAUAACUUCGGGAAACCGGAGCUAAUACCGGAUAAUAUUUUGAACCGCAUGGUUCAAAAGUGAAAGACGGUCUUGCUGUCACUUAUAGAUGGAUCCGCGCUGCAUUAGCUAGUUGGUAAGGUAACGGCUUACCAAGGCAACGAUGCAUAGCCGACCUGAGAGGGUGAUCGGCCACACUGGAACUGAGACACGGUCCAGACUCCUACGGGAGGCAGCAGUAGGGAAUCUUCCGCAAUGGGCGAAAGCCUGGCGGAGCAACGCCGCGUGAGUGAUGAAGGUCUUCGGAUCGUAAAACUCUGUUAUUAGGGAAGAACGUAUGUGUAAGUAACUGUGCACAUCUUGACGGUACCUAAUCAGAAAGCCACGGCUAACUACGUG
rnacentral:rRNA from 1 species